UACUUCCCUCAAUUGUACAUUUGUACUCUCUCAAUAGAACCCUCACUCGCACCGUUCCUCCUUCCGCCGAUCCUUCGCACCUUCGUCCUUCGCUUCCGCCGUCCCUCCCUCCGUCGUCCCUCCCUCCGUCGUCCCUCGCUCUCUCAGUCAUCCUCUCUCUGUCAACCUCGCAAUUGGUUCACUCACGCUAUGGAACUCGCUGCGUGAAAGUUACUCCAUCGAUGAAUACUUUCUGCUCUCAUUGUUCUACCAACAUGCUAUCUUAGGGAUCUUAGGUAAUUCUAGUGCUCAUAAACCCAACCAUGCUUACAUAAACCCACCUACUCGAUUCUGCUGCAAAAUCGAACGUUCUUCUGCUUUCUUUCUGAGGUGGUUUUUUUCGCUCUUCAAUUUUAUUUCCUUCAAAUAUAUUCGAUUUUCAUUGUUCAUAUUUCAGUUUUAUGUAUUUAUCCAUUACAAAUUUCAACAAUUUCUGGGUUUUUCAAUUGGAACAUCUUAAAUGCAUGUAACUGAAAAAGAUUGAAUCUUUUGUUGCGAUUGAUAAAGAUUAAGUACUGGGUAAUUGGUAUAUUAGUUAGACAAUAAUUUGUUGCAAAAUUAGGUUUAGUUUUUUUGUCUUGAAUUUGAAAUAUGUAUGAAAUUAAGCGCAGCCCUUAAGAUCGCCUUCCAAAUUACAACAAUGGAAGCGUGUCGAGUCAUAGCUGCGCAAAAUUGAAUCAUUUUUUUGGGGUUUUCUCACUAGGGUAUUCCUUUUGAGAUUAUUCCCUUUUUAUCGUCACCUAAAUUUCUCAUUCAUUUUCUCUAUAUAAUUUGGAUUGAUAUACAUCCUCCAAAUUUGCUGAAAUUGCUUAGCAUAUUUCAGUUCAUAAUGUUUGUGUUUAUGUUUUUUUCAGCAAAUGGGUGCUUGACAUUCAAAUGAGGAGCUAUUAAUGCUUGCAUUUAUGUGGGGAAACAUAUUAAAAAAUGAGGAGAAAAGGAUAAAUUCCUCGUACAUCAUCAGUGUCGCGAGGAAACUUGGAUGUUCUAUUUUUUUUGCUUCCUGAAGACAUCACUGAGAUUCAUGGCUCCAAGCUGUUACCGGCGAUGGUAACUACUGAAGUCGACCUUUUUACCGACGAUGGUAACCUUUAUCGUUCUGCUGUUCCUAGUGGUGCUUCUACUGGGAUCUAUGAAGCUCUUGAACUUCAUGAUGGUGAUAAGUCUGUUUAUGAUCAUAUUUUUGAAUCAAGAGUAUGUAAAUAAUUGCAUCAUGUUGACUGUUGAGCCGCUUGACAGUGAAAUAAAUUAUCUUUGGGUGUUUAUAAGAAAAUAUAUAUAAGUACAACAUAGUUGUUGGAAUUUUUUGGGCUGUGGGGAUGCUAGAAAGAAAGGGAGAUUAUUCAGUGCUUUUGUUUAUGAUUUAUGAAUUAUGGCUGAUAAUCAUGUUUGUUGUUUGGGUAUUCCAAUUUCUAAAUAGUGCAACUGAACUUAAAAGUGGAUACUGGAGACCUUCCAGAAGUGUAGAUAUAUUUGUUCUAUUUGCCAUUAUUCUUUGUUUUGUAUUUGCGAGCUGUGGCACUCUAUCAAAUAUUAGAAAGAUCUUGAUAUUUUAGUUUCUUGAAGAGAUUCAGACUGUUGUUAGGGUAAUUGGUAAUAUAAACUGUCUUUAAUAGACUUUUAGACUGCUAGUCUUUUUGUAUUCUUUUCUUGAUAUCUUUACCCCCCCUCCCCCUCUUUUCCUUUAGGGUAAUUGUAACUUGUUGAUUAUUCUUUCUGUUUUAUGGAAUAAUUAGUGGUCUAGGAUUCUUCAGACUUUUAAUCAUCUUGUUCGGCUUUGAUGUUUUGGAUCAGGCAAAUACCCAUGUAAAUGUGCAUCAAGAAUUAAAGGACGUUCGACUCUGGCAGGUCCAUACUCUGUUAAAAGGGUUGGAAAAGAUUGUUGCCAGUGCUGAUAUCUCAAUGUUGGUGUGCGGAGACUUUAAUUCAACUCCUGCAAGUGCUCCUCAUUCUCUACUUGCGAUUGGUAAAGUUGAGCCGCAACAUCCUGAUUUAGCAGUGGACCCUUUCGGAAUAUUGCGCCCUCAUUUAAAGCUUGCACACCAGCUUCCAUUGUUUUGCAGCCUCUUCAACUGUUGUUGGUUUGGGUACCUCCCAUCUCCACCGCUCCUUAUCCAAAUCUACUAACUUAACUUCAGAACCUGAGGUGCAUCCUGUUCAGAGUCGUUAUUUGGAUCUUCAUGAAUUAUUCAUAGAUGACAUUAUAUGGGUUGAUGAAGCUGUCAGCCUGCAGAAAGCGACUUCUUAUAUUAAAGGGUGUAAAGUUGAUGGUGUAGAUUGUGAAUGGAAGCCUAACUAUGUGAAAGGUAGCAGAGCCAACAAGGUUUCUAUAAUGCAAAUUGCUUCAGAAAAGGUUGCCUUCCCACAUUGUAAGUGCAUCGACUAAAUCAAAUCCAUCUCUUUUUAAAGCUGUGACUGGAGUGUCAAUUGUGGAUCAAAAUCAGGCUGUAAGGCUUCACAUGUUAGCGACACCAAGAUGUUGCGGAAGAAAGACCCUAGAGGUGAGAAGAAAUCUGAAGUUGACGUUGGGCAGCCUGAAUCCACUUGAGCUGCUUACAAGACAGAUUUGCAUUUCCAUUCUGUGAGGAAGAAUUGUAUAUAACAUAUAGUAGAGUUUAGUCAAAUGAUAACUCUUCAACGAAAUGUUGUCUUGCACUGUACAUAAUAUAUGGUAUAUACUGAUAAUACAUUCGCAACAGAUUGUAUAUAUCUCUAACGCUUAACGAAGCCUUAAUAUUCCAA